AAGUCGUACGGGAGUUUUUAACUCUAGUGGCGGACGGGUGAGUAACACGUAAGAAUUUGCCUUUAGGAGGGGGACAACAGCUGGAAACGGCUGCUAAUACCCCAUAUGCUUUCGAGUGAAAUGGAUUUCCGCCUAAAGAGAAGCUUGCGGCUGAUUAGCUUGUUGGUGAGGUAAUGGCUCACCAAGGCGACGAUCAGUAUCUGGUUUGAGAGGACGAUCAGACACACUGGAACUGAGACACGGUCCAGACUUCUACGGGAGGCAGCAGUGGGGAAUUUUCCGCAAUGGGCGCAAGCCUGACGGAGCAAUACCGCGUGAGGGAUGAAGGCCUAUGGGUUGUAAACCUCUUUUUUCAGGGAGGAACAAAAUGACGUGUACCUGAAGAAUAAGCAUCGGCUAACUCCGUGCCAGCAGCCGCGGUAAGACGGGGGAUGCAAGUGUUAUCCGGAAUCACUGGGCGUAAAGCGUCUGUAGGUGGUUGCAUAAGUCAACUGUUAAAUCUUGAGGCUUAACCUCAAAAUCGCAGUCGAAACUGUUUGACUAGAGUAUAGUAGGGGUAAAGGGAAUUUCCAGUGGAGCGGUGAAAUGCGUAGAUAUUGGAAAGAACACCGAUGGCGAAGGCACUUUACUGGGCUAUUACUAACACUGAGAGACGAAAGCUAGGGUAGCAAAUGGGAUUAGAUACCCCAGUAGUCCUAGCCGUAAACAAUGGAUACUAGAUGUUGAACAGAUCGACC
rnacentral:rRNA from 1 species